rnacentral:rRNA from 1 species
GACGAACGCUGCCGGCGUGCCUAAUACAUGCAAGUGGGACGCAAGGGAACACACUGUGCUUGCACACCGUGUUUUCUUGAGUCGCGAACGGGUGAGUAACGCGUAGGUAACCUGCCUAUUAGCGGGGGAUAACUAUUGGAAACGAUAGCUAAUACCGCAUAAUAUUAAUUAUUGCAUGAUAAUUGAUUGAAAGAUGCAAGCGCAUCACUAGUAGAUGGACCUGCGUUGUAUUAGCUAGUUGGUAAGGUAAGAGCUUACCAAGGCGACGAUACAUAGCCGACCUGAGAGGGUGAUCGGCCACACUGGGACUGAGACACGGCCCAGACUCCUACGGGAGGCAGCAGUAGGGAAUCUUCGGCAAUGGACGAAAGUCUGACCGAGCAACGCCGCGUGAGUGAAGAAGGUUUUCGGAUCGUAAAGCUCUGUUGUAAGUCAAGAACGUGUGUGAGAGUGGAAAGUUCACACAGUGACGGUAGCUUACCAGAAAGG